rnacentral:lncRNA from 1 species
UAAAACAUAGUCCCUCUUAUUAUAAAACGCGGUAUCAAAUAAGUAUCGGCUUUUGUACUACCUUUAAUCCACCUUUAAGUACGACCUUGAAAAAACGUUAUUACAAAACGCAGUUUAUCGCAAGUCCUAUUACUAUCUGUAGUACAAAAGAUAAACCAUCGAGCCCCCUAGUUUAACUGCAGUACUUAGUCGACAAACGUCAAAUUCCGACAUUAUUUACUUUUGAGGUUAUUUGUUUUGUGAUGAAAAAAACGAAAGUGGAUAUAAAUAUGUGUGAUUUGGAAUACUUGGAUGUGUUAGAAUACUAUUGAGAGUGUCCGGGGACCCAACAGAAUGCGUCAUCGACAAAAUCUCUUCAAAUUACCUGACGACAAUUUUCGAUAUAAAUAUCGAUUUACGUUUUUCGAAAUAAAAGUCAAUUGAAUGCAUGAUGAUAAUCCAGGAUGAUCCUAUGAUGCUCAACUGGGCUCGCCAUAAAAUUCAAGACUAUUUUGGCGCUUUGCACGCCGUAUCUCUGCCAGUAAUAUGCAAUGUUUGUAAAAGACUGGAAGCUUGCUAAAAUGUACAAAAAUGCCUAGAUGAGAAAGGGAACAAGAUUGUGUGAUGAAGAACAGUGUCCAACAUGUAUCAGUGCAUUUGACUGUAUAAAUAGACAUCGGAAUAAAAUAUAAUUUUCUACUUU